UUUAUCGGAGAGUUUGAUCCUGGCUCAGGACGAACGCUGGCGGCGUGCCUAAUACAUGCAAGUCGAGCGGACAGAUGGGAGCUUGCUCCCUGAUGGUAGCGGCGGACGGGUGAGUAACACGUGGGUAACCUGCCUGUAAGACUGGGAUAACUCCGGGAAACCGGGGCUAAUACCGGAUGCUUGUUUGAACCGCAUGGUUCAAACAUAAAAGGUGGCUUCGGCUACCACUUG
rnacentral:rRNA from 1 species